AGGGAGGGGGAACAUACUUGAGCAUAUCAAGGGGAAACAUGUAAGGAAAGGUGUAACCUGGGAAGGGAUAGACCAAUCCCAGCCUGGGAGGUUUUGCACAGAAUUCAACUGCAUAAAAGCACACUUGCCCUUGCACUCAGGGCCCACCCCUCCUGAAGAGGGGUGGAGCCUGCUUCUGGCCAGAAACUAAAUUUUUGGUGUCAAGCCUAUUUCUAACAAUUUGGCACCCAAUGUGGGGCUUGAUCUAGACUUCAGAGGGCACAAGGUAAGACAUCCCGGGGAAGAGGUGAAUUGAGCCUUUCCCAACCGAACUCCUGAUCUUGGACCACGUUGAAGAAGUCCAGGGGAUUGGGGAAGCCGCCGGCAGACCACAAGACAAUAUAUUGGGCAAAGGAUAGAAGAAACUCAGCCUUAUCAUUUUCCAAAUUCUGUCCAUGUUGCAUAUGGAUUUUGAGAGAGACUCAGACACAUAUGGUUAAGGGAAGCAGAACAAUGGAGUUAUACAACAACAGCCAAUUAGAAGGAUAUCUGAGGCUCAGAGAUGCUUGACAUGGUGAACUCUAGCUGAAUUUGGAAAUUCCUGUAGUUACCAGAAACCACAGAACCAGACUUGAUCAGCUCACAGGCAAUCUUGAGCAGAAGCUGCAGACUCAAACCUUUCUCAGGAGUUUCUAAACAUCCUGCUGCCUGGUUUAUUGUGUCUACAGAUGUUUUCUCCCUGAAACUCUCACUCUCUGCCUUAAAAUCUCUAGAAACUAUAUUAUCUCACCCCUUUUUCUACUACCCUUUGAGCAGCUGAGAACUCUUUCUCCCUUCCUGCUUCUUCAUAUGAUCUUCUCUCCCCUGAAAGCCUUUUC